rnacentral:rRNA from 1 species
UACGAAGGGGGCUAGCGUUGUUCGGAAUCACUGGGCGUAAAGCGCACGUAGGCGGACUUUCAAGUCAGGGGUGAAAUCCCGGGGCUCAACCUCGGAAUUGCCUUUGAUACUGUAGGUCUCGAGUCCGGAAGAGGUGGGUGGAAUUCCUAGUGUAGAGGCGAAAUUCGUAGAUAUUCGGAGGAACACCAGUGGCGAAGGCGGCUCACUGGCUCGACACUGACGCUGAGGUGCGAAAGCGUGGGGAGCAAACAGG